UACGGGGGGGGCAAGCGUUGUCCGGAAUUAUUGGGCGUAAAGGGCGCGUAGGUGGGACAGCAAGUCUGGGGUGCAAUCUUACGGCUUAACUGUAAGCUUGCCCUGGAUACUACUGUUCUUGAGUUCGGAAGAGGGUAGUGGAAUUCCUGGUGUAGCGGUGAAAUGCGUAGAUAUCAGGAAGAACACCGGUGGCGAAGGCGGCUACCUGGUCCGAUACUGACACUGAGGCGCGAAAGUGCGGGGAGCAAACAGGAUUAGAAACCCCAGUAGUCC
rnacentral:rRNA from 1 species